UUUGGUGACUGAGUGGCGGACGGGUGAGUAACGCGUGGGUAACCUGCCCUGUACAGGGGGAUAACAGCUGGAAACGGCUGCUAAUACCGCAUAAGCCCACAGUGCCGCAUGGCACAGCGGGAAAAGGAUUUAUUCGCUUCAGGAUGGACUCGCGUCCAAUUAGCUAGUUGGUGAGGUAACGGCCCACCAAGGCGACGAUUGGUAGCCGGACUGAGAGGUUGAACGGUCACAUUGGGACUGAGACACGGCCCAGACUCCUACGGGAGGCAGCAGUGGGGGAUAUUGCACAAUGGGGGAAACCCUGAUGCAGCGACGCCGCGUGGAGGAAGAAGGUUUUCGGAUUGUAAACUCCUGUCGUUAGGGACGAUAAUGACGGUACCUAACAAGAAAGCACCGGCUAACUACGUGCCAGCAGCCGCGGUAAAACGUAGGGUGCAAGCGUUGUCCGGAAUUACUGGGUGUAAAGGGAGCGCAGGCGGACCGGCAAGUUGGAAGUGAAAUCUAUGGGCUCAACCCAUAAAUUGCUUUCAAAACUGCUGGCCUUGAGUAGUGCAGAGGUAGGUGGAAUUCCCGGUGUAGCGGUGGAAUGCGUAGAUAUCGGGAGGAACACCAGUGGCGAAGGCGACCUACUGGGCACCAACUGACGCUGAGGCUCGAAAGCAUGGGUAGCAAACAGGAUUAGAUACCCUGGUAGUCCAUGCCGUAAACGAUGAUUACUAGGUGUUGGAGGAUUGACCCCUUCAGUGCCGCAGUUAACACAAUAAGUAAUCCACCUGGGGAGUACGACCGCAAGGUUGAAACUCAAAGGAAUUGACGGGGGCCCGCACAAGCAGUGGAGUAUGUGGUUUAAUUCGAAGCAACGCGAAGAACCUUACCAGGUCUUGACAUCCGAUGCAUAGUGCAGAGAUGCAUGAAGUCCUUCGGGACAUCGAGACAGGUGGUGCAUGGUUGUCGUCAGCUCGUGUCGUGAGAUGUUGGGUUAAGUCCCGCAACGAGCGCAACCCUUAUUGCCAGUUACUACGCAAGGGGACUCUGGCGAGACUGCCGUUGACAAAACGGAGGAAGGUGGGGAUGACGUCAAAUCAUCAUGCCCUUUAUGACCUGGGCUACACACGUACUACAAUGGCGUUUAACAAAGAGAAGCAAGACCGCGAGGUGGAGCAAAACUCAAAAACAACGUCUCAGUUCAGAUUGCAGGCUGCAACUCGCCUGCAUGAAGUCGGAAUUGCUAGUAAUCGCGGAUCAGCAUGCCGCGGUGAAUACGUUCCCGGGCCUUGCACUCACCGCCCGUCA
rnacentral:rRNA from 1 species